rnacentral:rRNA from 4 species
GACCCCAGGUCAGGCGGGGUUAC